CCACCUUGACGAGAAUUCUCGAAUCAACGAAGCCUCUUAUCCGUUACACAGACAACCAGAUUGAACAAAACUUAAAACCAAACUCUACUUUGGCGAAAAUUCACCUUCAAUUAAAACAGUGUUGCCUCCAUCUUGGUGAGAUAUCCAAUUCCCAACAAGAUGCAGAUGAACGCCGAACAUUCCAGGAGGCCACACCGAUGCCCUACUCACACCAAGACUUGCAAAAUUCCUCCAACGAGCUUCACAAUAGCGUGAAACAAGUUCCUCUUCCGAAAACCCUGCUAACAGAGAAUGCACUAUCCUUAUGAUCAAGAGAAUCGAUUAAUCAAGCACCCCUAACAAGUUCUCCAUACCUGAAAACACCGUAAACGGAAAAUUCCUCCAAUGAGCUUCACAGUAGCGUGAAACAAGUUCCUCUUCUGAAAACGCUGCUAACAGAGAAUGCACUAUCCUUAUGAUCAAGAGAAUCGAUUAAUGAAGCACCCCAAACAAGUUCUCCAUACCCGAAAACACCAUAAACGGCCAUUUUAAGGCUCCAAAAGAACAAGACAAAAAUACGGGUCGGGAUCUUGAAAAACAAACAUCACAGUCCGGCUGAUUUAAACACAAACAAGUCCACACUUGAUGAAAUCGGCUGAACGGAUGCCAAAAAACGCCGUAACACACAUUUUUCGCACAAAAAACUGGCAAGACAGCAACUUCAGAGUCUAAUCUUAGAAAACGGAGUACACAGUUGGAUCUGAAACAUCUAGAUAGUCAAGAUUGACUACUCACAAAAAACAAUCAUACAAAAAACUUUUUGUCAUACGAACCCUCUCCUUACCCCUGUACCCUACCUUUUUAGGUUUUUUCCGUAUCCCAUACUUGCACCCGUACCCAUACCUGUGUUUCAUUGCUGAAGUGGCCAUGCUCCAUGUAAUAUUGAAGAAACGACACUUACACAAUAGCAAAUAAAGUACACAUUUUAACAUCAAGAUGUAUACAUUAAGCUGCUUAAUUCCUACAAAGCACAGAGACAGGAAUGAGAGGUGGUAUUAAUCCAUGCCAAACUCGGUGUCUUUACAAAACCACAAUGAAAUUACAAAGAUCUCAAAACUGAAAUGCUCUCCACAUUUCGCCAAUGACUCAGCUCCUUGCAGGUUUGCAUUAAGGUUCAAUUUCAGAUGUCCUUUUAACAUGACUCAUUUAAACUAGGCCAGAACCAACUACACAAAAUAACAGGAGGAAACAAUCUGUUCCAAUGGGUAUGAGCAAGCUUAGGAAUUAAGAGAGAAGAACGUAUGUCACUCUCCUGCAGGAAUCAAAACCGAGCCUUCCUCUUGCGCGCUGUGUAUUUGGUAUCUGGAGGCACAUGGUUUCCCUUUUUCCUCAUCUGCUCUUUCUUCUUCAAAACCCAAUCACGUCCUUUACCUUUCUUUGUUAUUCGUUGCUUUUUCCUUGGUCUAUGCC